rnacentral:rRNA from 1 species
UGGGGAAUUUUGGACAAUGGGGGAAACCCUGAUCCAGCCAUCCCGCGUGUGCGAUGAAGGCCUUCGGGUUGUAAAGCACUUUUGGCAGGAAAGAAACGUCAUGGGUUAAUACCCCGUGAAACUGACGGUACCUGCAGAAUAAGCACCGGCUAACUACGUGCCAGCAGCCGCGGUAAUACGUAGGGUGCAAGCGUUAAUCGGAAUUACUGGGCGUAAAGCGUGCGCAGGCGGUUCGGAAAGAAAGAUGUGAAAUCCCAGAGCUCAACUUUGGAACUGCAUUUUUAACUAUCGAGCUAGAGUGUGUCAGAGGGAGGUGGAAUUCCGCGUGUAGCAGUGAAAUGCGUAGAUAUGCGGAGGAACACCGAUGGCGAAGGCAGCCUCCUGGGAUAACACUGACGCUCAUGCACGAAAGCGUGGGGAGCAAACAGG